GACUCUAUUGGCUGGGUCCUGUGACCACCUUUGAAUCUCUUCUGACUGAGUGGCAACCGUUGCAGCUGGGAUGCCAACGAGACUCCAUUCUAGCAAAGAGUUUUGAAUCCUCCAUUGGAUGGGCUAUCACUAAAUGUUGCUUCAAUUCCCCAUUUCCAUGGGCCAGUGCAUUCGUGAGCUGUCUGCAAUCAUAAGCUAUUUUCACACAUGCACAAAACUGCUGAAAACUUCAAGAAAUCUUCAAGGUGAGCUGUGCACAUGUGAAGAUGGAAGUUGACCAAAAUGGUCCAAAACAUACCUCCUGACAUCAUUAAAGUUGAAAAGAAAAAACAA